rnacentral:rRNA from 1 species
AUUGAACGCUGGCGGCAGGCCUAACACAUGCAAGUCGAACGGUAGCACAGAGGAGCUUGCUCCUUGGGUGACGAGUGGCGGACGGGUGAGUAAUGUCUGGGAAACUGCCCGAUGGAGGGGGAUAACUACUGGAAACGGUAGCUAAUACCGCAUAACGUCUUCGGACCAAAGUGGGGGACCUUCGGGCCUCACACCAUCGGAUGUGCCCAGAUGGGAUUAGCUAGUAGGUGGGGUAAUGGCUCACCUAGGCGACGAUCCCUAGCUGGUCUGAGAGGAUGAACGGCCACACUGGAACUGAGACACGGUCCAGACUCCGACGGGAGGCAGCAGUGGGGAAUAUUGCACAAUGGGCGCAAGCCUGAUGCAGCCAUGCCGCGUGUAUGAAGAAGGCCUUCGGGUUGUAAAGUACUUUCAGCGGGGAGGAAGGCGUUAAGGUUAAUAACCUUGGCGAUUGACGUUACCCGCAGAAGAAGCACCGGCUAACUCCGUGCCAGCCGCCGCGGUAA